rnacentral:rRNA from 1 species
UACGAAGGGGGCUAGCGUUGCUCGGAAUUACUGGGCGUAAAGCGCAUGUAGGCGGCGAUUCAAGUUAGAUGUGAAAGGCCUGGGCUCAACCCGGGAACUGCAUUUGAUACUGAAUUGCUAGAGUCCAAGGGAGGGUAGUGGAAUUCCCAGUGUAGAGGUGAAAUUCGUAGAUAUUGGGAAGAACACCAGUGGCGAAGGCGGCUACCUGGCUUGGUACUGACGCUCAGAUGCGAAAGCGUGGGGAGCAAACAGG